CUAUGAAGUUAAGUGAAAGAUAUUUAUCUUUUCAAUCUUGACAAUUGUUUUAAAAACUUAAAUAUAUCUAAGGUUGGAUCAAACUACUUCAAGACUGCGAAAAAAUGUGAAGUCUUUGGUGUUUGCUGUGAAGGUACAGGAAAACAGGUGUUUACUUGGCGAAGGAGGGUGAAUCACCCGGGAAAGGCGCCAACACUGUUGUUAGCUAUGUGCAUUACUAGCUUCAUCACUAUGGCCUAGGGGAGGAAGAGGCAGUUUUCUACUUUGACAACUGCUGAACAAAAUAAGAACAACUGUGUACUUUGGUAUGCAUUGUGGAGAGUAAGUGUUGGGCUGCACACUCGAAUGAGAUACUUGAUGAUGGUGACUGCGGCAACAUCAAGUUCUAGCCUGAUUGGCAUUUUGAAUUAUGGAAGUCAAAGUGUAGGUAUAUUCAUCAGUAGAUAAUGAUUUACCAUC